rnacentral:rRNA from 1 species
GGGUCUUGGGAUACUUGAGGUUAAGCGUCCUUGGGUUUGAAUAGUAUUGGGUUGGGUGACCUCUCGGGAAGUCCAAAUUCAGGAGCUU